CGCAGCCUGAUCCAGCAUGCCGCGUGUGUGAGAAGGCCUUCGGGUUGUAAAGCACUUUUGUCCGGAAAGAAAACCUCGUGGUUAAUACCCGUGGGGGAUGACGGUACCGGAAGAAUAAGCACCGGCUAACUACGUGCCAGCAGCCGCGGUAAUACGUAGGGUGCAAGCGUUAAUCGGAAUUACUGGGCGUAAAGCGUGCGCAGGCGGUUCGCUAAGACAGAUGUGAAAUCCCCGGGCUUAACCUGGGAACUGCAUUUGUGACUGGCGGGCUAGAGUAUGGCAGAGGGGGGUAGAAUUCCACGUGUAGCAGUGAAAUGCGUAGAGAUGUGGAGGAAUACCGAUGGCGAAGGCAGCCCCCUGGGCCAAUACUGACGCUCAUGCACGAAAGCGUGGGGAGCAAACA
rnacentral:rRNA from 1 species